rnacentral:rRNA from 1 species
AUGUGAUCGUCUCUCGCAUAUCAAUAAGCGGAGGAAAAGAAACUAACAAGGAUUCCCCUAGUAACGGCGAGUGAAGCGGGAAGAGCUCAAAUUUGAAAUCUUAAAGGGUUUCCCUUUACGAAUUGUAGUUUAAAGAAGUGUUUUCUGUUGAGGUUUUGGUAAAAGUUCUUUGGAAUAGGACAUCAUAGAGGGUGAGAAUCCCGUAUUUGACCUUUACUUUCAACUUUGUGAUACACUUUCAAAGAGUCGGAUUGUUUGGGAAUGCAGUCCAAAAUGGGUGGUAAAUUUCAUCUAAAGCUAAAUAUUGGCGAGAGACCGAUAGCGAACAAGUACCGUGAGGGAAAGAUGAAAAGAACUUUGAAAAGAGAGUUAAACAGUACGUGAAAUUGUCAAAAGGGAAGCGUUUGACACCAGUGUUGUUUUUCUGAAAAUCAAUUAAAGAACUGUUUAUGCUAAGCUGUUUAGACUUUAUCAGCUAAUCUGUUUAGUUUUGAGCUUUUCUUUAAUGCACUUUUCAGUUAACAAGUCAACAUCAAUUUCUUUUGCUGUAAAAAAGCUUGAGGAAGGUGGCUUGAGAUUCGUCUUAAGUGUUUAUAGCCUCUUGCCUAUGCAGUCGGAGAGAUUGAGGUCUGCAGCGUAGAUCCUUCGGGGCUAAAUGCAUUUGUGCUAAGUUAUAGCAUUUUAUAGACAACUUGUUGACUAUGAUUUGUCUUGUAGCUUACUCGCUUAUGUUAUUUUACCUACGCUUAGGAUGUUGACACACGCGCGUGCUCG